CAAAUCCUCUACAUGAGUGCAAUAAGGUGGGGGAGAGGAGGAAAAAGCAAACCAAAGUGUUUCAUAUCCUCCCUUUUAGACAAUUUAACACACGCACACAAAAAAAAAAGAAAAAAAAAAAAAAAAGGAAAAAAUGAAAAGAAAAAGAAACAAAAUGUUCUUGCAACAUCUGCAUAAGACAUCACAGCCAACAGCUGCUAUUGGUUUAGGAGAGAAGACAGAGAACUUUGCCCACCAAUUCUUGGCCCCCUUGACUUUGUUGGCGUGACCUUGUGGAAAGCUAUGGCUUAUUUCAAGCCUCCCGUGACUGUGGUGGUAAAAAUUCACAGCCAGUAGAAUCAUCCCUUCUGAAAUGACUAAGGUUUACACUUGCUUUUGGUUUUUUUUUCAUUUGUUGGUUUUUGUUUUUGUUUUUUUCCACUCAAACCAGUAUAGUCUCUAUGCGUAAGGUUUACCAAACCUCACGUUUUGUCUUUUUUA